rnacentral:rRNA from 1 species
UCAAGUGAAUAAGUGCAUCAGGUGGAUGCCUUGGCGAUGAUAGGCGACGAAGGACGUGUAAGCCUGCGAAAAGCGCGGGGGAGCUGGCAAUAAAGCUAUGAUCCCGCGGUGUCCGAAUGGGGAAACCCACCUCUUAGGAGGUAUCCUUAUCUGAAUACAUAGGAUAAGCGAAGCGAACCCGGAGAACUGAACCAUCUAAGUACCCGGAGGAAAAGAAAUCAACCGAGAUUCCGCAAGUAGUGGCGAGCGAACGCGGAGGAGCCUGUACGUGAUAACUGUCGAGAUAGAAGAACAAGCUGGGAAGCUUGACCAUAGUGGGUGAUAGUCCCGUAUUCGAAAUCUCAAUAGUGGUACUAAGCGUACGAAAAGUAGGGCGGGACACGUGAAAUCCUGUCUGAAUAUGGGGGGACCAUCCUCCAAGGCUAAAUACUCAUCAUCGACCGAUAGUGAACCAGUACCGUGAGGGAAAGGCGAAAAGAACCCCGGGAGGGGAGUGAAAUAGAACCUGAAACCGCAUGCAUACAAACAGUAGGAGCCUCGUCAGAGGUGACUGCGUACCUUUUGCAUAAUGGGUCAGCGACUUACAUUCUGUGGCGAGCUUAACCGAAUAGGGGAGGCGCAGCGAAAGCGAGUUCGAAAUGAGCGUCCAGUCGCAGGGUGUAGACCCGAAACCAGAUGAGCUAUCCAUGGCCAGGUUGAAGGUGUGGUAACACACACUGGAGGACCGAACCGACUAGUGUUGCAAAAUUAGCGGAUGAGCUGUGGAUAGGGGUGAAAGGCCAAACAAAUCUGGAGAUAGCUGGUUCUCCCCGAAAACUAUUGAGGUAGUGCCUCGUGUGUCGCUCCAGGGGGUAGAGCACUGUUUUGGCUAGGGGGACAUGGAGUCUUACCAAACCAAGGCAAACUCCGAAUACCUGGAAGCGUAAGCACGGGAGACAGAGCACCGGGUGCUAACGUCCGGACUCAAAAGGGAAACAACCCAGACCGCCGGCUAAGGUCCCAAAUAACAGCUAAGUGGAAAACGAAGUGGAAAGGCCGUGACAACCAGGAAGUUGGCUUAGAAGCAGCCAUCCUUCAAAGAAAGCGUAAUAGCUCACUGGUCGAGUCCUUCUGCGCGGAAGAUGUAACGGGGCUAAGCUGUUAACCGAAGCCGCGGAUGCACUGGUUAUCCAGUGCGUGGUAGGGGAGCGUUCUGUAAGUCUGCGAAGGCGGUUCGAGAGGACUGCUGGAGAUAUCAGAAGUGCGAAUGCUGACAUGAGUAACGUUAAAGCAGGUGAAAAGCCUGCUCGCCGUAAGCCCAAGGAUUCCUGCUCUACGUUCAUCGGAGCAGGGUGAGUCGGCUCCUAAGGUCAGGCCGAAAGGCGUAGCCGAUGGGAAUCAGGUUAAUAUUCCUGAACCUGCGUCAGAUGCGAUGGGGGGACGGAGCAUGAAAGAUCAUCCGGGUGUUGGAUGUCCCGGUUGUUGAGCGUAGGAGGUCUGCAGGCAAAUCCGCAGACGCAUCUCCAAGGCGAAGACACGUGCCGCCACGGCGGCGAAGUGAUCGGAAGUGCUUCCAAGAAAAGCCUCUAAGCACCAGUCUGACGCGGACCGUACCGCAAACCGACACUGGUGGGCGAGCUGAAUAUGCUCAGGCGCUUGAGAGAACUCGGGAGAAGGAACUCGGCAAAUUGACACCGUAACUUCGGAAGAAGGUGUGCCGUAGUACCGUGAGAGGAGAGACACCUUGAGCGGGAAUCGGUCUCAGAGAAUAGGUGGCUGCGACUGUUUAUUAAAAACACAGCACUCUGCAAAGUCGAAAGACGACGUAUAGGGUGUGAUGCCUGCCCGGUGCUGGAAGAUUAAUUGAUGGGGUGAGAGCCCUUGAUCGAAGUCCCAGUAAACGGCGGCCGUAACUAUAACGGUCCUAAGGUAGCGAAAUUCCUUGUCGGGUAAGUUCCG